rnacentral:lncRNA from 1 species
CAGGAGUGAUAAGCGUGAACUAGAGAGUGCUGUGCAGGAGGAAGCUGGGGCCGCCGUCGGGCCUUCUCCCUCCAGGGGCCCAAGAGCCACUGGUACUCAGUGUCUGGGUGGGGGCAGGGGGGAUUUUUGUUCUCCCAGCACCUGCGGCUGUUGAGACCAGAGAAGCUGGUGGUCGACCACAGCCUGGGGUAUUAGUUCACCCCUAGCUUCUCCCCAGCGAGACCCCAGGGCCCUUGGGCACAGGGGAUUAAGCCUCUAUCUGCUUACGUGCAAGCGGAAGAAAUAGGCCCAGAGAGCAACAGUGGCGGGUCUGCAGUCACACAGCCAACUUGCGCUUGUGGCAGUGGCAAGGUUGGUGAGUAUCUGAGUCUUCAGGCCACGGCAUUUUCCGCUCGAGUGGAGCCUGAAGUUCUGAGGGUACCCCUCACUCAAGCUCCAGGCGUCAGGAAAAGAACAUUCCACGAAGUCCAUCUGGAAGACGGUCCUUUCCCUGCUGCCCCCAGGUAAUAUCUGCACUGCUGCAGAAUUCUAAAGGUCUAAAAUCACAGAUUCAAUGAGUCUCCCAAGCAGGAAAGCUGCAUUUUCAACCUGAAUAGAUCUACUGCAAAGCCUGGCUCUUUCAGUGCCUCUGCCACCGUAUCCUACUUCCUCCAAAGUUUCUUUCUAGUCUGAUCUGUCUUGAGACCCCCAGUGCCUGGAGCCCCUGUCAUCCAAACUCCUCCUAGGGACCGCUACUGUUGCCGCUUUCUAGAUGAUCUUCCAAGGAUAGCUUAUAGCUUGUAUAUAUGGACAUAUACUUGUCAAAUUUCCCUUAAAUUGUACGUUACCCAUUGCACUGAGCACUUGUCCGUAGCUCCUUUCCAGUCUUGUAGCUCUGCUGAGUUUUCUUUCUAUAGUUAAGAAUACAAUGUAGGCCGGGCGUGGUGGCUCACGCCUGUAA